CGGAACGUCCAUCGUAACUCCUAUCCGCCAAGUACAUCAAAAGAAAUAAAAAUACCCGUAUGCUCUAUUGAAAUCAGCAGGCCUAAGAUCCUUGGUUAAUGGGUCGGCAAGCACAUUCUCAGUGACAAUAUGCUCAUACAUUACAUCCCCAUUAUCAACCCAUUCCCUUAGCUUAAAUAACUUUAAAUUGAUGCACUUGGCACCAUCUGAAUUCUUUGUAUUCUUGGUAAAGAACAUAGCUGAAGAAUUAUCACUGUAAAUCCUUAUGAGCCUGGAGAUGGAAACAAUAACUCUAAGACUGAAUAGAAUUCCUUGACCACUU
rnacentral:lncRNA from 1 species